UACGUAGGGGGCAAGCGUUGUCCGGAUUCAUUGGGCGUAAAGAGCUCGUAGGCGGCUUAGCAAGUCGGGUGUGAAAACUCCAGGCUCAACCUGGAGACGCCACCCGAUACUGCUAUGGCUAGAGUCCGGUAGGGGACCACGGAAUUCCUGGUGUAGCGGUGAAAUGCGUAGAUAUUGGGAGGAACACCAGUGGCGAAGGCGGCUCGCUGGACCGGAACUGACGCUGAGGCGCGAAAGCGUGGGGAGCAAACAGG
rnacentral:rRNA from 1 species